rnacentral:rRNA from 1 species
UAGGGAAUCUUCCACAAUGGACGCAAGUCUGAUGGAGCAACGCCGCGUGAGUGAAGAAGGCUUUCGGGUCGUAAAACUCUGUUAUUGAAGAAGAACGUGUGUGACAGUAACUGGUCAUGCAGUGACGGUAUUCAAUCAGAAAGUCACGGCUAACUACGUGCUAGCAGCCGCGGUAAUACGUAGGUGGCAAGCGUUGUCCGGAUUUAUUGGGCGUAAAGCGAGUGCAGGCGGUCUUUUAAGUCUGAUGUGAAAGCCUUCGGCUUAACCGAAGAAGGGCAUCGGAAACUGGGAGACUUGAGUGCAGAAGAGGAGAGUGGAACUCCAUGUGUAGCGGUGAAAUGCGUAGAUAUAUGGAAGAACACCAGUGGCGAAGGCGGCUCUCUGGUCUGUAACUGACGCUGAGGCUCGAAAGCGUGGGUAGCAAACAGGAUUAGAUACCCUGGUAGUCCACGCCGUAACGA